GACGGAAGGUGCAAGCGUUGCUCGGAAUCACUGGGCGUAAAGGGUGCGUAGGCGGCUUGGUAAGUUGGGUGUGAAAGCCCCGGGCUCAGCCCGGGAAGGGCACUCGAAACUGCCGAGCUGGAGUGCCGGAGGGGAGAGUGGAAUUCCUGGUGUAGCGGUGAAAUGCGCAGAUAUCAGGAGGAACACCGAUGGCGAAGGCAGCUCGCUGGGACGGUACUGACGCUGAGACGCGAAAGCGUGGGGAGCAAACAGG
rnacentral:rRNA from 1 species